UACAAACCACCAAGCAAUUUUCUAAACUUGAACAGAACCAAUAUAAACUCAUCAGCAGCAAGCCAGACAGAGUGGGUCAUAAACCCUUUAAAGGCAUCAAUAGGUGCUUUGUUUUGUAUGUAAACCACCACCUAAUCACCUGUUUAGCAAGCACUGCCCUUGCAACUAAAAAAAAAGUAGGGGAUUGUGGAAAGAGAGGAAGGAAACUAAAUCAAAAUGGAAGCAGUUGAAGAGAUAAUGUACUCCUAACAUCAUGGUGCUCACUUCUCUCUCAAUGCUUCAAAGAUAUUGGCAAAUAUCAUGUGCUCCAUCUCUGAAGGACACUUGGGCAUGAACAUGGCUGCAGGAGAGAGGCAGAUGGUCAGGAACGGAGACUCCCUCCAUGGCUAACAGUCUAGAUCUCUUCAUGGUGACUUUUGACAGACCCAUUUGUGCACUGAGUCUGCAGUGGAGAUACAGAAAUGUCAAUGGUUGCAUUGGCAUGGGAAAUUCCCACAGAGCAAAGACACUGCCAUCAUUCACCCACACCUCCGAAACACCAUCACCUCAGCUCUGGUUUUGUCACCCAUAUGCACACUAAAUCAUCUGACCCAGAGGAGAGGUUCUGUUGGUGUCAGUGAUCCAGGGAGGGAGAACUUUUGACACUUCAGAUAUUCUCCAAUCAACCUGUUCAGGGAUAUUAUUAAACACCUCGGGAGCAGUUAAAACUUAAAGCUGGACCUCCUGGUCUUGAGAGGCUGUAAAGUCCAUCCCAUAGUGCUUCAGUCAUUAAUUAUCGUGAAUGGAUGGCUUUACUGCUGAAGCUGUGAACACUGCUUCCCAUUAUUUAUCUGCCGUCUGAAUGGCAUAUGAUUG